CUCUCCCUCUUUCUUCCUGCCUAACACAUGCAAGUCGAACGAACCUUUCGGGGUUAGUGGCGGACGGGUGAGUAACACGUGGGAACGUGCCUUUAGGUUCGGAAUAACUCAGGGAAACUUGUGCUAAUACCGAAUGUGCCCUUCGGGGGAAAGAUUUAUCGCCUUUAGAGCGGCCCGCGUCUGAUUAGCUAGUUGGUUGAGGUAAUGGCUCACCAAGGCGACGAUCAGUAGCUGGUCUGAGAGGAUGAUCAGCCACAUUGGGACUGAGACACGGCCCAAACUCCUACGGGAGGCAGCAGUGGGGAAUCUUGCGCAAUGGGCGAAAGCCUGACGCAGCCAUGCCGCGUGAAUGAUGAAGGUCUUAGGAUUGUAAAAUUCUUUCACCGGGGACGAUAAUGACGGUACCCGGAGAAGAAGCCCCGGCUAACUUCGUG
rnacentral:rRNA from 1 species